UGGGAAGUAAUAUUUGCUAAUUUUCCCAACAGGCUGGAAAUAUCGUCUGCGUGGAGGGGAUGAUCAUUAUCACCUUCAAUUAGAAGAACCGAAUCAUUAGGUUGGUUGCCUAACACCCAGCAAGACGCGAAGGACUGACUGCUUUACUACUUCUCUCGUUGAAGUCUUUAUUUCGUGCUGCCGACUUCAUCUGCAUGGAUCUCUCCUCGUGGCAGCUGUAGGAAACACAAGAACUCUGUGACCUGGAAAAUGUGGGACGACUGACACAAGAAUACAGAAGACGAAAAUUUACACAGCAGCACCAUCAAGCCAAGUAGCAGGUGAAAU
rnacentral:lncRNA from 1 species